UUAACAAAGUGAGCCUAUUCUAUCCAGGAC
rnacentral:piRNA from 1 species